GACGAACGCUGGCGGCGUGCCUAAUACAUGCAAGUAGAACGCACAGGAUGCACCGUAGUUUACUACACCGUAUUCUGUGAGUUGCGAACGGGUGAGUAACGCGUAGGUAACCUGCCUGGUAGCGGGGGAUAACUAUUGGAAACGAUAGCUAAUACCGCAUAAGAACAUUUACCGCAUGGUAGAUGUUUAAAAGGUGCAAGAGCAUCACUACCAGAUGGACCUGCGUUGUAUUAGCUAGUUGGUGAGGUAACGGCUCACCAAGGCAACGAUACAUAGCCGACCUGAGAGGGUGAUCGGCCACACUGGGACUGAGACACGGCCCAGACUCCUACGGGAGGCAGCAGUAGGGAAUCUUCGGCAAUGGGGGGAACCCUGACCGAGCAACGCCGCGUGAGUGAAGAAGGUUUUCGGAUCGUAAAGCUCUGUUGUUAAGGAAGAACGUGUGUGAGAGUGGAAAGUUCACACAGGACGUACUAACCAAAAGGCG
rnacentral:rRNA from 1 species